GAAGGAUUCACCGGCGAGGUGCAGGCCACAGAGGCAACAACCGCUCCCUCCUCGGGGCAGGGCCCCGGCUCCGGUGCCAGGAUCUCCCCGGACUUAUUUUCAGGCAAUGAAGUGGCCCGCCUCCUGCAGGACCACAUGUGGGCCCAGAGAUGAAGGCAGAACUUCCUCUUCCCUGGCUUGUACAGGAGCCAAUACACAGGAGGAGCUGCAGAAUGGAAACCAGAG